UACGAAGGGGGCUAGCGUUGCUCGGAAUCACUGGGCGUAAAGCGCACGUAGGCGGAUUGUUAAGUCAGGGGUGAAAUCCUGGAGCUCAACUCCAGAACUGCCUUUGAUACUGGCGAUCUUGAGUCCGGGAGAGGUGAGUGGAACUGCGAGUGUAGAGGUGAAAUUCGUAGAUAUUCGCAAGAACACCAGUGGCGAAGGCGGCUCACUGGCCCGGUAACUGACGCUGAGGCACGAAAGCGUGGGGAGCA
rnacentral:rRNA from 1 species